UCAGGAGAGCCUGCCACUAUUCAAAAAAUUGUUUGUGGGACUAAUUAUACCGUAAAAAUCGGUUUUUGGCCCCUACUUUGAUUGACAUGAACCCCUGAUGAAGUCCUUGGGACGAAACGCGUCGGGUAUGGUUUCUUGUGAAAACAUCAGACAUCCUAUAUAAUAUACCACUUGAUGGGAUAUACUGUCUAUAUCAUGUCUUCAACAACAUUGUAAACUGCAUUUUUAUUAUAUUU